AUUUUUCUAAAAUAUAGGGACUAACUAAUUAUUUUCAUUAAAAUAGAGGGAUCAAAUAGUAGUUUGGCUAUUAUUGACUAACGAAAAAAUUGACAGAUGGACUAAACAGUUUAACGGAAGCAAAAUAUAAGGACUAAAUCGUAUAUUUUUCAAAAUAUAGGGACCAAGUAAUUAGUUUAGCUAAAAUACAUGGACUAAAUAGUAAUUACCCAAAUAUUAAUGCCCAAGUAUUUCCCUUCCUUUUCCAGCUAGGGUGGGAAAAAAAAAUACCUUGAAAGAUUGAUUUGAAAAAAAGAUGAUUAAUUGAACCAAUGAAGUGUGUGAGCAAAAUUUUUAAUGUCAAUUUCUUAUACAUGUUUAAUGUAAUAUUUCAAAAUGCUAUGCAUAUAAUUUAGAAAAUUACUAUAUAGAGAUAAUGAAAAUAUACUUUUUUAAUAUUUUACUCCAAAAUAAUAGUAAUAAAUAUUAAACAAAAAGAAUAAAUUACUAAAAAUCCAUCGACUUUUACCAUGAUAUACACAAGGUGUUGUAUUAUAAACAAACCUUAGGCAGUGGUGGAUCUAGAAAAAAACUUUUAUGGGGUCAACAUAUAAAAAGUAAAUUAUAAAAUACUAAUAAAAAAUGUCAAAAAUACAACAUUAAUAUCUUAUGAUUGGACUGAUGAGAAAAGUAUCAAGAAUUACAAAAUUACUAAUGCUAUCAAAAUAUCAAAUA
rnacentral:misc_RNA from 1 species